ACCUAUACAAUCUACAACUUGUAGCUUUUUUUACAAGAAAGAACAGUUCAGAUAUUUGGCUAAUGAUUACUCGGCCACUUGAACAGGUUUAGCAACCAAAUCCAUUGCAUUUGCAUCCGUAAGGGUAUUAUGGUAUUAAGAAACAAAGCAUCUAAAUACCAUAAUGAUCAAAUCCCUUUUAUUUAUUUAUAUUUGUAUUACUCACUGCCCAUUAGCAACCUGAGUGUCAAUAAAUUACUAAUAAAUAUUAUCAGACAUUAUGGAAGAAAGUCACAAUAUCUAUCUAUCUAUAUAUACUAAUAAAUGAUACUUUUCUCCCUUCUCCUUGUGCCACCUGUAGGACGGAUCAUUUUAGGACACGUGUACAUUGUUUGAAAAACUUUCUCAAAAUUGUGUUUUCGAUUCAUUUUAACUUGGACUAAUGGACUUCAGUGUUAAGUUUGGCCCACUAACCCAAUACGAGAAGUUAGGGUUACAUUUUCAGAAACAAACUCUGCAGAGAUGAAUCCACGUCUCUUGCCUCAGUCGUUUCACUUCACCUCCCACAAAUUUCUUUCUGCAAAACAGUUGUCGUUAUGGCAAUCAAUCAUCAAUUAUCCCCACUACUUUUGCUUCAUUGCUUUUUUACUUCGUUUUCAUCGUCACUCAUGCCGAUAUAUGGAGCCCUUCUGUGAGGCUUCACCGAGAAUCCAGUUCUUGAUUCUUGAUUAGAAAACCUAAAUCGUUUUAAGUUAGCCCCGAGGAUGGCAAAUCAACAGUUCCAUUUAUUUGAGCUCAAAGCUGGCCUCUGCAGGCAGAGUGUUGUCAGAAGGCUUUUACGGUACUGCUAGAAAGGAAGAAACAUUUUGAAGCAAGGCAGGCUGUAUGAUCUAAGUGGAUUUGAUGUAACAAACACCAACCAAAGCUUCCGCCUUUCAGACUCCCAUGUAUCAAUUCGUUUUACAAACCAGACAAAAAAACAUGGCCUUGAUCCCGAUGGAACUCUUCAGGUUCCGAAAUUACGAUCAUUCAAUGUUGUUGGCUAACACAAACACUGACUUGCAAGAUAUUGUUGGUGACGUGUUUUGGAAUCAAACUACCUACAAUGAAGAAACCCAAAAAAAAAGGGAGAGUAUUAAGGCAACAAUACGCAUUCUAAGGCCUGCCCACCUACUAUCUUCUAUGUUUUUAGACUACUAACAAGAAAGGAUGGUUUACUUUUUAGAACUGAGUUAUUAAUCUACUCUUUCAUCGCGCAGGGAGGCAAACAUUUAUUUUUGACAAUCUUGCUAUGCAACUCCUUGAUAAGUUGGUUAUCCAUGGCGUAGAACCACGGGUUAUUUCAGCUACCAAUAUCAAUCCAAAAUUGGUUGGAGGUAUGCAUGUCCCGGAUUAGUAAUAUGAUUUACAGUUUUACAUACUAAAUUUUUGACCUUAUUGCAUGACGUCUUUUCCUAAACCCAGCCUCAGUAACCCUUUUCUACUUUGCAUGUGAGUGUGAGGCCGACACAAGUUGCAUCAAGGGGUAAGAGUUUAUGCAUUUAAUAAUUUUAUCAUUUUUGUAAAGGUCCUAUUAUGUUUAGACCCAUCAUUUUCCUUUUAUUCACGUUGAUGAGGGUUCUUCCUCUUCACCCAAAAAAAUUACUGUGGUCAAGAAAUUUGAAUCAUUGACUGUUUAGGAACUGAAUUCAUAUGUCACCAACUCCCCUUCGCUGGUAAACCUUUGUAAUGAAACCCAUCCUGCUUACUAGCUUCCUCUGUCACACUGUUGUUGCUGUCAAUACCACUUGAAAUCACUGCAGAAGUGCAGGUUGAAGACAUUCCAUGAGAAAAGGGUAAAGAUAAUGGUCCGUGUCCGGCUGUAAGGGACGGCGUUCCUUUCGAGGAGUCCCCUGUUGAAGAUUGUGGACCUCUGCAGAGAAGCCACGAAAUGGUUGAACUCCAGGAGAUCGAAGUGAAAGUUGGAGUUCUGGUUUCACAACCGCUUCUUUUACCUUUAAUUCACAGCGUUUAACAAGAGUUGUCAUUGAACUAUAUUGCAAUGUUUUCUGUUCACCUUUUGUUUUUUUAAAUCAGCCUUACUAAUUUCUCAACUGCAAGGCAGUAUUUUAAACCCCUAUUAAAUUGUUAUAAUGUUAUGAAUAUUAGUGCAAAUUAUUUCAUAUAAUGUUUCAAUUAA